GAUGAACGCUAGCUACAGGCUUAACACAUGCAAGUCGAGGGGAAACGAUAUUGGAAGCUUGCUUCCGAUAGGCGUCGACCGGCGCACGGGUGAGUAACGCGUAUCCAACCUGCCCAUCACUUGGGGAUAACCUUGCGAAAGUAAGACUAAUACCCAAUGACGUCUCUAGAAGACAUCUGAACGAGAUUAAAGAUUUAUCGGUGAUGGAUGGGGAUGGGUCUGAUUAGCUUGUUGGCGGGGUAACAGCCCACCAAGGCGACGAUCAGUAGGGGUUCUGAGAGGAAGGUCCCCCACAUUGGAACUGAGACACGGUCCAAACUCCUACGGGAGGCAGCAGUGAGGAAUAUUGGUCAAUGGACGAGAGUCUGAACCAGCCAAGUGGCGUGCAGGAAGACGGCCCUAUGGGUUGUAAACUGCUUUUAUAAGGGAAUAAAGUGAGUCUCGUGAGACUUUUUGCAUGUACCUUAUGAAUAAGGACCGGCUAAUUCCGUGCCAGCAGCCGCCGUAAUAC
rnacentral:rRNA from 1 species